UACAGAGGGGGCAAGCGUUGUUCGGAAUUACUGGGCGUAAAGGGCGCGUAGGCGGCCUGUUAAGUCGAACGUGAAAUCCCCGGGCUCAACCCGGGAACUGCGUCCGAUACUGGCAGGCUUGAAUUCGGGAGAGGGAUGUGGAAUUCCAGGUGUAGCGGUGAAAUGCGUAGAUAUCUGGAGGAACACCGGUGGCGAAGGCGGCAUCCUGGACCGGAUAUUGACGCUGAUGCGCGAAAGCCAGGGGAGCAAACGGG
rnacentral:rRNA from 1 species